UACGGAGGUGGCAAGCGUUGUCCGGAAUUAUUGGGCGUAAAGCGCACGCAGGCGGUCCCGUGAGUCUGAUGUGAAAGCCCACGGCUCAACCGGGGGGGGUCAUUGGAAACUGGGGGACUUGAGUGCAGGAGAGGAAAGUGGAAUUCCAUGUGUAGCGGUGAAAUGCGUAGAGAUGUGAAGGAACACCAGUGGCGAAGGCGACUUUCUGGUCUGUAACUGACGCUGAGGCGCGAAAGCGUGGGGAGCAAACAGG
rnacentral:misc_RNA from 1 species